AAUAAAAUUAUUUAUGGUUUAAAAAUUUAUUAUAAAUUUAUUUUACAUAUAAAUUUUAGUGUUAAUUUUUAAUUUAUUUAAAUAAUAAUUAAUAUUUAUUUGUAGUAAUUAGAAUUAAAAAUUUAAGUAAUUAAGAUUUAGUAAUAUUUAAAUUAAUAACAAAUUUUGUGCCAGCAGUUGCGGUUAUACAAAAAUUAAAUUAAAUUUUUUUAGGGAUUAUUUAAUAAUAGAUUAUAUAAUAAAAUUAAAAUUUAAAUUAUUAAGUGAAAUUUUAAUUUAUGAAAAUUUUAUAUUGAAUUAUGAAUUAAAAAAUUUUAUUAAAAACUAGGAUUAGAUACCCUAUUAUUAAAAAUUUAAAUUAAUAAUACUAAAAUAGUAUAUAAUUAUUUAUAAAAACUUAAAUAAUUUGGCGGUAUUUUAGUUUAUUUAGAGGAAUCUGUUUAUUAAUUGAUAUUCCACGAAUAAAUUUACUUAAUUUAUUUAAUUUUGUAUAUCGUUGUUAAAAAAAUAUUUUAAAAUAAUAAUAAUAUUUUAAUUUUUAUAUUAAAAGUUAAAUCAGAUCAAGAUGCAGAUUAUAAUUAAGAAUAUAAUGGAUUACAAUAAAUUUAUUUAAUUGGAUGUUAUUUUUAAAAAUUAAUUGAAAUUGGAUUUAAAUGUAAUUUUAUUUAAUUUAUUAAAAUGAUUUUAAUUUAAAAUAUGUACAUAUUGCCCGUCGCUUUCAUUAAUAAAUUGAAAUAAGUCGUAACAAAGUAGAGGUACUGGAAAGUGUUUCUAGAAAGAGUA
rnacentral:ncRNA from 1 species